rfam:Colletotrichum incanum strain MAFF 238704 contig2201, whole genome shotgun sequence.
GGUCUGGUGGUGUAGUUGGUUAUCACGUCAGUCUAACAGCUUCUGAGGUUACCCUCGUUAGCCUGGGAACACUGAAGGUCUCCGGUUCAAGUCCGGGCUAGAUCA